rnacentral:rRNA from 1 species
UGAGGAAUAUUGCGCAAUGGGGGCAACCCUGACGCAGCGACGCCGCGUGGGUGAGGAAGGCUUUCGGGUCGUAAAACCCUGUCAGAAGGGAAGAAGUGCUUAUAGGUUAAUACCUUGUAAGUUUGACGGUACCUUCAAAGGAAGCACCGGCUAACUCCGUGCCAGCAGCCGCGGUAAUACGGAGGGUGCAAGCGUUGUUCGGAAUCACUGGGCGUAAAGGGCGCGUAGGCGGCUUGGCAAGUCAGAUGUGAAAGCCCACGGCUUAACCGUGGAAGUGCAUUUGAAACUGCUUGGCUUGAGUAUCAGAGGGGAAAGUGGAAUUCCCGGUGUAGAGGUGAAAUUCGUAGAUAUCGGGAGGAAUACCGGUGGCGAAGGCGACUUUCUGGACUGAUCCUGACGCUGAGAUUCGAAAGCUAGGGGAGCAAACAGGAUUAGAUACCCUGGUAGUCCACGCCGUAAACGAUGUCAACUAGGUGCAGGGGGUGUUGAUCCCCUCUGUGUCGCAGCUAACGCAUUAAGUUGACCGCCUGGGGAGUACGGUCGCAAGAUUAAAACUCAAAGGAAUUGACGGAA